AUUGAACGCUGGCGGCAUGCCUUACACAUGCAAGUCGAACGGCAGCGCGGGGGCAACCCUGGCGGCGAGUGGCGAACGGGUGAGUAAAAUAUCGGAACGUGCCCUAAAGUGGGGGAUAACGUAGCGAGAGUUACGCUAAUACCGCAUAAGAUCUAAGGAUGAAAGCGGGGGAUCGCAAGACCUCGUGCUUUAGGAGUAGCCGAUAACUGAUUAGCUAGUUGGUGGGGUAAAGGCUCACCAAGGCGACGAUCAGUAGCUGGUCUGAGAGGACGACCAGCCACACUGGGACUGAUGCACGGCCCAGACUCCUGCGGGAGGCAGCAGUGGGGAAUUUUGGACAAUGGGGGCAACCCUGAUCCAGCAAUGCCGCGUGUGUGAAGAAGGCCUUCGGGUUGGAAAGCACUUUUGUGCGGGACGAAACGGUUUGGGCUAAUACCCUGAGCUAAUGACGGUACCGAAAGAAUAAGCACCGGCUAACUACGUGCCAGCCGCCGCAGUAA
rnacentral:rRNA from 1 species